GAACUCAAGGUUGGUGAAGGAAGCAGAGGAGACAGGGGUGGACAUGGACCUAGCAGAGAUCUGGGGAGGUUGCUGUGUAGGACACAGCCCAGCAGAGGGAGCUCAGGCUCCUCUCUGACUGCCUGGGGCAGGUUCUCUGCUCCCCUGUCCUCUGAAGGUGGUCUGCACACAGAGGACAGCUGAGAGGGAUGGUGGAGGAUCAGCACUGAUGUCACACUGACACUGUUUCUUCCCCACAGGACAGAGGACUAAAGCCGAAACCCCAGCCAGGGACCUCAUUGAAAACACUGAGAAUGUUGAACCUGAAGGACAAUAUAUGGACCCCAAAGAGAACCCCAAGGAUAACAACAUCGUGUACGCCUCCAUUGCCCGCUCAAGCCCAGCCUCCCCAGGAACACCACCCUGCCAGCCCGUCCAUGGGAACCCCCAGGAAGAGACUGUGUACUCCAUCGUAAAAGCCAAAUGAGUGGGUCUGGGUGACAAUCUCAGAGUCACCUGUGCUUCUAGUGGGAAGACUCCCAGCUUCCACUGAUACCCACAGCCAGAGACAACAACUCAUGGGUCACUGAUACCCAUGGCCAGAGACAGAAAUCCACACGUCAGGGCGUUUGAGCUCAGAGAAAAUGAGAAAAUCCAGGUCCCUUUUCUAACUUCCUAGAUCUUUCUCACAAAAAUAAAACAAUCUACAGAAUUUGCCUAAA